rnacentral:rRNA from 1 species
UACGAAGGGUCCAAGCGUUAUCCGGAUUUAUUGGGUUUAAAGGGUGCGUAGGCGGCUUAUUAAGUCAGUGGUGAAAGCCUGCAGCUUAACUGCAGAACUGCCAUUGAUACUGAUGAGCUUGAGUAUAGUUGAGGUGGGCGGAAUGUGUCAUGUAGCGGUGAAAUGCUUAGAUAUGACACAGAACACCGAUUGCGAAGGCAGCUCGCUAAACUAUAACUGAACGCUGGAGGCACGAAAGCGUGGGGAGCGAACAGG